rnacentral:lncRNA from 1 species
UUAGUGGACCUGAGAGAGAGAAAGAAAUUUUCUAUAAACCACUGAACUGGGGCAGUGCCGGAAAUUGUCCCGACCCGGUACUCUGUAGCUUCCAAGGUGCUUCCAACCCCAUUCGCGCCGCAAGGAUCCCACAAGAUCGGGAAAACCGAGGCUUGGGAAGGGUUGGGUGCCCCAAAGGCAGGCUGCUUGGAAGAAACGGAGCCGACCUGAACCCCGCGUUUGCAGGUUUCAAAUCGCGGCGCGUUUUGAGAGGCCUUUCUGACCCCUCAGAAUUAUUAGUUCGAGCCCCCUGGUCUAUCCUGCUCGGAAAUUCGGCCUCUGAUCGAGGAAGCCCUGUUGGGAAGAGGGCUGGUUAUUCCCUUGUCUUCCUUCUCACCGCCCCUACUCCAUCCACUCUCUUUCCCCUUCUCCCCUUCUGAGUUUGUUACCAUUUCUUGGUCAAAGCCCCACAACAUAGAUGCAAGGAGAUGAAAACCCACAAUUUCUCACUCCAGAGCCUGCGCCUGCGUUCACUGCAUCAGGGUUCUCGAACCUUAAGGAGCUCACAAUCACGUGGGGGCUUUGUUAAAACAGGAAUUCUGGGCCCCGCUCCCGGACACCUCAUUCAAUUGGUCUCAGCUGGGCCUGAGAAUGCGCAUUUCUAACCGGUUCCCGGGGUAUGUUUUGGGAAGGACUGCUCUGUGUGUUGCGUUGAUGCCCUCUAGGUUCCUUUGUCAAUAACAAAAAACCCUCUUUAGAGGAAAGUACGUCGUUCUUCUCUGUGUGUCCUCAGCACUUACACAAGGCUUGCACACCAGUGCCUAAUAAAUAUUUGGGCUUAAUCAUGAACGCUUAGAGCUGUCACCGUGGUUUACAGAUGUUUAGCGUGCGCCUGGCAUUUUUCUGGGCACAUUAGGAGUGUCUGUUUAAUGCUAGUGACAACGGUGGGAGUUAAGACCCUUAUUUUGACAUGGAUGGCUCACAAUGGGGAUGCCAGGAACCGGGAGAGGGAAAUCGUGCCUGUACCCAGACAGAUGGAAGCCAAGGUCUACCCAAGGGACAGAAACCGCUGAGUCCCGCUCCACCAACCUGGGACAAACCAGCUUAAAGGCGCUGUUCAGGAAGACUCAGCUCUCUCCGCUGGGAUCCUCCACUGGGCUCUGGAGUUCAGAGGUUCAAGGUUAAAGUGAAAAGAAGGCUGAGCAUGGAGACAACAGGAGACUUCAAGUCCCACUUGACAGUUCCUGGCUAAGUGAUCCUAAACAAGCCUCUUAACCUCUCUGAGACUCAGUAUGCCCAUCUAUGCAAUGAGAAUUUGUAACAAUAAAAUCAAAAAGCCUCCUC